UCCGUAGGCGGGCAAUUAAGUCAGAGGUGAAAUCCCACAGCUCAACUGUGGAACUGCCUUUGAUACUGGUUGUCUUGAGUUACAGUGAAGUAGAUAGAAUAUGUAGUGUAGCGGUGAAAUGCAUAGAUAUUACAUAGAAUACCGAUUGCGAAGGCAGUCUACUAACUGUAUACUGACGCUAAUGGACGAAAGCGUGGGGAGCAAACCGGAUUAGAUACCCGAGUAGUCC
rnacentral:rRNA from 1 species